UGGCCUAUCUUGUUGGUCUGUAGGACCGGAGUAAUGAUUAAGAGGGACAGUCGGGGGCAUUCGUAUUUCAUUGUCAGAGGUGAAAUUCUUGAAUUUAUGAAAGACGAACUACUGCGAAAGCAUUUGCCAAGGAUGUUUUCAUUUAUCAUGAACGAAAGUUGGGGGCUCGAAGACGAUUAGAGACCUUCGUA
rnacentral:rRNA from 1 species